AGUGAACGCUGGCGGUAGGCCUAACACAUGCAAGUCGAACGGCAGCACAGUAAGAGCUUGCUCUUACGGGUGGCGAGUGGCGGACGAGUGAGGAAUACAUCGGAAUCUACUUUUUCGUGGGGGAUAACGUAGGGAAACUUACGCUAAUACCGCAUACGACCUACGGGUGAAAGCAGGGGAUCUUCGGACCUUGCGCGAUUGAAUGAGCCGAUGUCGGAUUAGCUAGUUGGCGGGGUAAAGGCCCACCAAGGCAACGAUCCGUAGCUGGUCUGAGAGGAUGAUCAGCCACACUGGAACUGAGACACGGUCCAGACUCCUACGGGAGGCAGCAGUGGGGAAUAUUGGACAAUGGGCGCAAGCCUGAUCCAGCCAUACCGCGUGGGUGAAGAAGGCCUUCGGGUUGUAAAGCCCUUUUGUUGGGAAAGAAAAGCAGCAGGUUAAUACCCCGCUGUUCUGACGGUACCCAAAGAAUAAGCACCGGCUAACUUCGUG
rnacentral:rRNA from 1 species